GUCUCUGAAGAUGAUUAAUUGAAAACUUUCGUUCUACUGAUGUGAUCAAUGCGGAAAUUUUGAGAUUUAACUGAAGAGGC
rfam:Macleaya cordata isolate BLH2017 scaffold1365, whole genome shotgun sequence.